GGGAUUGUAGCCUAGUGGUUAGGGCGUCGGACUCACGACUUGAAUGAAGGUUGGGGGGUUCGAUUCCCGAUCCCA
rnacentral:tRNA from 1 species